UGUUGCGUAAAAUUUCUUAUUUCUUUCAUUAUAUAUCAGAACGAACGGAGUAUAUAAGUAAGUUUUCAUUCUGUAAAAUUACAUCUUAAAUAUAUUUGCUUAUUUGCCCUCUGCUGAUUGCUAAGGAAAUGCCAACGGUUUGCAAGUUCAUUGGUGGUAACAUCGAGUUGCCAGGCACGAGAUUAGAUCUCCAUCUUGUCAUUCAUGAGAUGGUCUGAGUUUAUACAAAUAAUUCGGGAAAAUAAGAUUACGUGUAAUAAUAUAUACAGUAGUUUCUUAGACGGUAAUAUAUUAUAUUUCGUUUCUUAUUUAUCUUGGCCUUUUAUAAAGUUAAUGUUAAGCAGAACAAACUGCUCGCAAGAAUAUUGAUUGAUAGCCGUCACUGAAAGCUAGCCAUUUAGGCAAUCAAUUGAACAAGUAUUUCGUUCAGUUUCAAUUGAUAACAUAAUCAAGCUGUAUGUAACUUCGUGAGUGUGGUUGACGUGUUGAUCACGUUACUAGGUUAAAAAAGCAGAAAAAUUCACCUCUGUAUUUGAUAUCAAUACGACGUCGGUUGAGUGCACCAUACGGAUUUCGAAUUUCUGCAAUUAAAAGAGGGUAAAUGUUUAUUAAGUAGAAAAAGAAGAAAGAAAUUGCUCCUGUGAAUUAUGAAACAAAGUGG
rnacentral:lncRNA from 1 species